AUACGAAGGGGGCGAGCGUUGCUCGGAAUGACUGGGCGUAAAGGGCGCGUAGGCGGUAUGGUUAGUUAGGCGUGAAAUUCCUGGGCUCAACCUGGGGACUGCGCUUAAUACAGCCAGGCUAGAGUGUGGAAGAGGGUCGUGGAAUUCCCAGUGUAGAGGUGAAAUUCGUAGAUAUUGGGAAGAACACCGGUGGCGAAGGCGGCGACCUGGUCCAUUACUGACGCUGAGGCGCGAAAGCGUGGGGAGCAAACAGGAUUAGAUACCCUGGUAGUCCACGCCGUAAACGAUGUGUGCUGGAUGUUGGGUGACCUAGUCACUCAGUGUCGUAGCUAACGCGAUAAGCACACCGCCUGGGGAGUACGGCCACAAGGUUGAA
rnacentral:rRNA from 1 species